rnacentral:misc_RNA from 1 species
AUCAUAUAUUAAUUUGACUAAGAACCAAAAAAAGUAAUUUACUUUUUUCUUUCAAUUCAUUGGUUGCUUUCAUAGAAUGCUACUAAUAUAACUACGAGUGUUAGUCUGAUUGAUAGUUGAUGAGUUUGUUUCUCUGCCUAUCAAUUUGUGUUUAAUUCUCAUCAUUAAGUAGAUAAUUAGUUAAAGUGCAUAUAAAAUAGAGG